rnacentral:rRNA from 1 species
GAACGCUGGCGGCGCGCCUAACACAUGCAAGUCGAACGAUUAAAGCACCUUCGGGUGUGUAUAAAGUGGCGAACGGCUGAGUAACACGUGGGCAACCUGCCCCUCUCAUUGGGAUAGCCACGGGAAACCGUGGAUAAUACCGAAUACUUCGAGACUUCCGCAUGGAAGACUCGAGAAAGCUCCGGCGGAGAGGGAUGGGCCCGCGGCCUGUUAGCUUGUUGGUGGGGUAACGGCCUACCAAGGCAAUGAUGGGUAGCUGGGUUGNGNGNCCGNCCCGCCCGNUUGGGNCUGNGNCNCGGCCCNGNCUCCUNCGGGNGGCNGCCGUGGGGAUUCUUGCNCCNUGGGCGNNNGCCUGNUGCNGCGNCGCCGCGUGCGGGNUGNNGGCCUUCGGGUUGUNNNCCGCUUUCNGCCGGGNCGNGGCGNNNGUGNCGGUNCCUGCNGNNGNNGCCCCGGCUNNCUNCGUGCCNGCCGCCGCGGUNNUNCGUNGGGGGCCNGCGUUUUCCGGNUUCCUUGGGCGUNNNGCGCUCGUNGGCGGUCUGUUNGGUCGGGNGUUNNUUCCGGGGGAUCAGCCCCCCGCUCGCUCCCGUAACCGGGCCAAUAUAAGUUUGGUAGGGGAAAGGGGGGAAUUCCCUAGUGUAGCGGUGGAAUGCCCAGAUUUAAGGGAAGACCCCCAGGGGGGAAGGCGGCCUUUUGGGCCAUAACGGACGCUGAGGAGCGAAAGCUAGGGGAGCAAACAGGAUUAGAUACCCUGGUAGUCCUAGCCGUAAACGAUGGACACUAGGUGUGGGGGAAUAUUUCUUCCGUGCCGCAGCUAACGCAUUAAGUGUCCCGCCUGGGGAGUACGGCCGCAAGGCUAAAACUCAAAGGAAUUGACGGGGGCCCGCACAAGCAGCGGAGCAUGUGGUUUAAUUCGAAGCAACGCGAAGAACCUUACCAGGGCUUGACAUUUAGGUGAAGCGGCGGAAACGUCGUGGCCGAAAGGAGCCUAAACAGGUGGUGCAUGGCUGUCGUCAGCUCGUGUCGUGAGAUGUUAGGUUAAGUCCUGCAACGAGCGCAACCCUCGUCGUAUGUUGCCAGCGGUUAGGCCGGGCACCCAUACGAGACCGCCGGCGUCAAGCCGGAGGAAGGUGGGGACGACGUCAAGUCAUCAUGCCCCUUAUGUCCUGGGCUACACACGUGCUACAAUGGCCGGCACAAUGGGCUGCCAACCCGCGAGGGUGAGCGAAUCCCUAAAGCCGGUCCCAGUUCGGAUUGGAGGCUGCAACCCGCCUCCAUGAAGUCGGAGUUGCUAGUAAUCGCGGAUCAGCACGCCGCGGUGAAUGAGUUCCCGGGCCUUGCACUCACCGCCCGUCAAG